rnacentral:rRNA from 1 species
GAUGAACGCUGGCGGCGUGCUUAACACAUGCAAGUCGAACGGAAAGGCCCCAGCUUGCUUGGGUACUCGAGUGGCAAACGGGUGAGUAACACGUGGGUGCUCUGCCCUGCACUUCGGGAUCAGCCUGGGAAACUGGGUCUAAUACCGGAUAGGCCCCCAUUUUGGAUGGUGUGGUGGAAAGUUUUUCGGUGUGGGAUGAGCUCGCGGCCUAUCAGCUUGUUGGUGGGGUAAUGGCCUACCAAGGCGUCGACGGGUAGCCGGCCUGGGAGGGGGUACGGCCACAUUGGGACUGAGAUACGGCCAGGACUCCUACGGGAGGAAGCAGGGGGGAAUAUGGCACAAUGGGCGCAAGCCUGAUGCAGCGACGCGGCGUGGGGGAUGACGGCCUUCGGGUUGUAAACGCCUUCCGCUAGGGACGAAGCGCAAGUGACGGUACCGGGAGAAGAAGCACCGGCUAACUACGUG